rnacentral:lncRNA from 1 species
GAUUCAGAGUUGAUCUAUCCAUCCUCUGGUUAGACUCAGCAUUUCAUACCUGCCUGUCCAGCUCCAUCAUCAGCCAUCAUGGUCACUGUCACCAUCAUUCUUCAAUGACAUCAGAGAAGAGAGCUUCCCUAUGAGGCUCUCCCCAACACCACGUUGGGGGAAGAAAGGCAGAGCCGUGGGGAGCUGGAGGAUGAACCUGCCACAGUGCCCUGCUCUCAGGGCUGGGAGUACGACCACUCAGAAUUCUCCUCUACCAUUGCAACUGAGUCCCAGGUCGGUAUUUACAUAAUCCAUCUGGAGGUGGAAUGUCGGUGGAGGCAGUCUCCCUGGGAGGCAGCAGGUCGAGGCCUUCCUUGGGAAGAAGCUGAGGCUGCAGGACUGGGGAGGGACAAAGUUUCCUAUUCCCCAAGCUGGCGUGAAUCGUUGGGAGGUUUAUUAUCUGGCAUGGAGGUACCAGAAUGGCAGAGUUCGCCUCAGAAGGCUCCAGGGUCUGGAGAGGAGGAGCUGGUGCCUGCUGGAGAGGGGCUGAUGUUCAUAGGAGGUCCCUUUCUGCCUGUCCUUGCAGUGGGAUCUGGUGUGUGAGCAGAAAGGUCUGAACAGAGCUGCGUCCACUUUCUUCUUCGCCGGUGUGCUGGUGGGGGCUGUGGCCUUUGGAUAUCUGUCCGACAGGUGGGGUGAGGCACUGGGCCAAUAAGA